rnacentral:lncRNA from 1 species
AUGAAGGACGGUACCGACCUAAGUUUCGACGCGGAGACGGUUGCGGGUGGCGGAGGGUUGUCCGGUGCAGAUCUAUUUGCGGCGGGAGUUGGAGGAGUCGGUCGAAGGUGGCGGCGCGGAUGGGUAAGGACUGAGGUGAUGAAGGUGUUGCUGACUGCAGUUGAAGGGAUCGGUCGGCGUGGGUUGCAUGGAGGUUGCCCGGAGAGUAGCGGCAAGUUGCGAUUGAUGUGUUGCUGCGUGCGGAGAAGUUGUGUCAUUGAUUAG